rnacentral:rRNA from 1 species
GAUGAACGCUGGCGGCGUGCCUAAUACAUGCAAGUCGAGCGAACAGAUGAGGAGCUUGCUCCUCUGACGUUAGCGGCGGACGGGUGAGUAACACGUGGAUAACCUACCUAUAAGACUGGGAUAACUUCGGGAAACCGGAGCUAAUACCGGCUCAUAUAUUGAACCGCAUGGUUCAAUAGUGAAAGACGGUUUUGCUGUCACUUAUAGAUGGAUCCGCGCCGCAUUAGCUAGUUGGUAAGGUAACGGCUUACCAAGGCAACGAUGCGUAGCCGACCUGAGAGGGUGAUCGGCCACACUGGAACUGAGACACGGUCCAGACUCCUACGGGAGGCAGCAGUAGGGAAUCUUCCGCAAUGGGCGAAAGCCUGACGGAGCAACGCCGCGUGAGUGAUGAAGGUCUUCGGAUCGUAAAACUCUGUUAUUAGGGAAGAACAAAUGUGUAAGUAACUAUGCACGUCUUGACGGUACCUAAUCAGAAAGCCACGGCUAACUACGUG